AAUAUUGGACAAUGGGGGCAACCCUGAUCCAGCCAUGCCGCGUGUGUGAAGAAGGUCUUCGUAUUNUAAAGCACUUUAAGUUGGGGNGAAGGGUUGUAGGUUAAUACCCUGCAAUUUUGACGUUACCAACAGAAUAAGCACCGGCUAACUUCGUGCCAGCAGCCGCGGUAAUACGAAGGGUGCAAGCGUUAAUCGGAAUUACUGGGCGUAAAGCGCGCGUAGGUGGUUCGUUAAGUUGGAAGUGAAAGCCCCGGGCUUAACCUAGGAAUUGAUUUCAAAACUGACGAGCUAGAGUACGGUAGAGGGUAGUGGAAUUUCCUGUGUAGCGGUGAAAUGCGUAGAUAUAGGAAGGAACAUCAGUGGCGAAGGCGACUACCUGGACUGAUACUGACACUGAGGUGCGAAAGCGUGGGGAGCAAACAGG
rnacentral:rRNA from 1 species